GAUGAACGCUGGCGGCGUGCUUAACACAUGCAAGUCGAACGAUGAAGCCCAGCUUGCUGGGUGGAUUAGUGGCGAACGGGUGAGUAACACGUGAGUAACCUGCCCUUAACUCUGGGAUAAGCCUGGGAAACUGGGUCUAAUACCGGAUAGGAGCGCCUACCGCAUGGUGGGUGUUGGAAAGAUUUAUCGGUUUUAGAUGGACUCGCGGCCUAUCAGCUUGUUGGUGAGGUAAUGGCUCACCAAGGCGACGACGGGUAGCCGGCCUGAGAGGGUGACCGGCCACACUGGGACUGAGACACGGCCCAGACUCCUACGGGAGGCAGCAGUGGGGAAUAUUGCACAAUGGGCGAAAGCCUGAUGCAGCGACGCCGCGUGAGGGAUGACGGCCUUCGGGUUGUAAACCUCUUUCAGUAGGGAAGAAGCGAAAGUGACGGUACCUGCAGAAGAAGCACCGGCUAACUACGUG
rnacentral:rRNA from 1 species